rnacentral:lncRNA from 1 species
CGAGACUCCAAAUGGGUGGCAGUCGCAGCGGCUCCCCACGGAGGAAAGGUAGGCGUUCCCGGUCCACAUCCCGUGAGAGAGAACGCAGGCUCCAAGAAAGGUCCAGGUCUCGGGAGAGAGAUGGGAGAAGGAACCGCUCGCCAACCCCGCACCUAGGACGCUCCCGAUCUCCAAGACGACAUAAAUCCACAUCUCCUUCCCCUUCUCAGCCGAACGAAAGAAGAGAUGAGGAAAAGAAAGAAACAAAGAGCAAAGAAUGGCAAAUUACUGAGGAAGACUUAGAGGGCAAAACAGAGGAAGAAAUAGAAAUGAUGAAGUUAAUGGAAUUUGUCUCCUUUGACUCCACAAAAGGUGAGAAGGUGGAUUGCUCUGUAAAUGCCUAUGCCAUAAUUGUCUCUCAGAAGAGGAAGUACGGGCAGUAGAUGAAUCGAAAAGGUGGAUUCCACAGACCUUUGGAUUUCAUUGCAUGAGAAUUGAAAUGUUGAAGAAUGAUUUUUUCCCCUCAUCUUGGUCAGAGAGUGGAUUUUGUAUUUAACUUGCAUUCAAAAAACAGGAUCUCAGUUCUUCCUUCUUGUAAAGAAAUAUCAUUUGUGGUAAGCGUCAACCUCAUUUUAUUUGUCCUUAUUCCUGUGGAAGCAGUACAUGUUUUCUUCUUGAAUGCUCAUUAGGACUUCUUAAAAAACAUGAAAGUAAUUUGGAAGUAAGUUUAUCCAAUAAAGCAGUAUUUCUACACUU